rnacentral:lncRNA from 1 species
AGCCCCCAAGAGAGAAGGCCACUGAUGAGGGCAGGAGAGAGACGACCGUGUACCGAGGGCUGGUCCAGAAGCGCGGGAAGAAGCAGUUGGGCUCGUUGAAAAAGAAGUUCAAGAGUCAUCACCGCAAACCCAAGAGCUUCAGCUCCUGUAAACAGCCAGGUUAAUAAAAGCACAUGCCGUGAAGUUUCGAGAAAGCCUUCAGAUAUUUCCCCCGCUCCUGAUCAAGCCAUGUGUCCUCUGAAUGAUCGGCUGUCCCCAGUGUCUUCUCUACCCACUUAUCCUUGUCUCAUGACAUCUGCUGUCCUCUAAGGCAGGGCUGAGGGAGUCUGUCCCCCACACCCAGGAAGCAGCAGGGACUCUGAGGGACUAAUUCUCUCUGGACAUGGCUUCUGAGUGGUCUUCAGAGAAGCCUAGAGAAGUAACCUCGCUCACUGGCAUCCUGAGGGGAGCCCCAUUCAGGCUGGGCAACGCUAUAGGAUCACACUGCAUACAACAAAUGCCAUUAUUUAUUUUGAUGUGUUUCCAAAAAUCAAAAUGUUUUCAAACACAACUAAGAUAUAAAAUACAGCAUAAAAUGAGACUUAGAUCUGUUUCCCACAUAAAGCAAAAAAAUCUUAGAAAUUGUUUUGCCAAAAUCAAUUGGUAGAUCCCACUUAUCCUCUCCUCCCUGCAAAGGCAUCUUCCCGAAUCAGGCCCUAGCCCACCCAGGGCCAGGAGAAACAGGAACACCCACUAGGACGGAGGCGCUGCUGGUGCAGAACUGGUGCUGACUGCUCACGUGGCCUCCUUUGGUCCACCCUACUUUCCACCCAUCAGCCAACCAACCUUGACCACAGAGAAACCGUGACUUGGCCAAGGUCAUUUGAUGGGGGCUGUCAUACGGCACUAACAGGGAGCGAGGUGUGGACCAAGAGACAGCCCUGGUGAGGUUGAAACACUGAGACAAGCCAGUCUUCAUGCAGUGAGCACUUGAAUGAUCACAGGAGAAGAGAACCCAUGUCCUGAUGCCAUUGCUCGAUCUUACCAAUAUUCAGGGGUAAGGAAGUAGGCCACCAGGGGAAGAUUUGCAAACGCGUUGGGACUAGCUCGGCUGUGUUAAAAAGGUGCCCCCUCCUCAGGGUAGGUGACUUCCAAAAGCACUUAUGAGCAGAAACCUGCCUCACCCCUGCCCUGCAGAGCCAACGGACGAGAGGCCAAGAGGGAGGCAGGCUCGGGGCUGGUCCGCAGCAGCCCUGGAGACAGGCUGAGCCAGCCUGUCCCCAGAUAGGUCUAGGGGCCAGAGAGGUGUUCCACCACCCUUGUGGCAUUUACUAUGGUGCAGACGACAGGGAGCAACAAGCAGUUAAGUCCCCCCAAAAAGAGAAACACAGUAUAAGGCAGUGUUAGAAAACUUUAAAUACAGGAUUAAGAUCAAAUCGGUAAGGCAUCACAAAUUGUAAAAAGGAAUUUUGGCUGCAUUUGGCAUAGCAAAUGGACAAUCUGAGUGAGCGACAGCCUCAGGAAAGUGGUGUGUCGGGGCUGUCCACAGGGCGAGUGCAGCUGGGAAAGGGCGGUGCUGCUCAGCCAGGGUGGCCUGCGCUUUCGAGACCUUGCUCAGAAAAGGCCCCAUGUGAGGUAACUGGGUUGAGUCCGUGGGUCUCCAGUGCUGGGAGCUCCUGCCACACCCCCUGCCCACAGCGGCUACGGCUCCGCAAGCUGGUCCGAGGAGCAGCUGGCCGGGCUGGCUUGCAGGGUGCUGCUGCUGGGGCUACCCCUGUGCGGUCUCACUAGCCCUCCCCACUGCCAGCUUGGAGGCCAGCAGCACCCAGACCAGCAGCUUCCCCAAGGACUUCUUGCCCCUCCGCCUUGCCUCAAGCUACUAAAACUCCCAGGGUAUUACCCAAUAAAACACUUGGCACCAAUCCAAGCUGAUUUUCUGACCGAUGACUUUUAUCAUAAACAGCAGCUUCCACCACCCCUUUAAUACUGCAUCAUUCUUUGGGUGUCCCUAAAUGUUUUCACUAUUCCUAUAAAAUACAAUGCGGGGCAGAAACAACAUCAAAGCCACUGGUGUGAUUUUAAACCAGGGAGAUUAACUGUUUUGAGGUUUGGCUGAACCACCCAAAAUAAUUUAGUAGUUUCCGCUAAAAAUGUAAACUUAAAAAUAAGAGGGAGACUGCUUUGAAUGAUAAUACCAAUGCGUCUGCUCACAGUACAGCUUGAAGGCCCCCUCCUGUACCCCCACAAAAAAACUCAAAUAGGACUGAGAUGCCACAGCCAAGCGGGCUGUUCACUCCAAAGCCUCGGCGUGGGGGAGGCUUCCAGCUGCCAGGCUGGCCUGCACUGAAGGGUCAGACGCCAGACUGUGGCUCCAGAGCAGACUGAGCCAUCGAUUCUCAGGUGUCUCUGCAAAUAAAGUUCUCAAAACAUCUGUGCCUUUACCAAGGGAGGGGAAGGGAAGAGGAUACAUAAAAGCUGGCAGUUUUGUUGAAUCCACCCCGAACCAGUCCUUGACGGCCACGGGUCUUAGCCAGGCAGGUAGGGAUCUGUGACUGUUACCACUCCUUCUUCUUCUCAUCCAUGGAGACACCCCCAGGGCCCAGGGCCACCACCAGGAGCAAGCCCCCGAUCACCGACAUGGUCUGGAAGAAGUCGUAUUUCAGGAAGUCAUGCAUGGGCUUGUAGACUGGAAUGGUCCAGAAGGCGUUGAAAUAUACGUUGAUGGCAAAGAGCCACACAACAAGAGUCAAAGCAGCCAGCUUGGUUUUAAAACCAAUGGCCACUAAAAUCAUCAGAGCUGUGCCCACGAUGUUCUGGACAAUCUGCAUAGGUUGAAACGUAAGAAAUUCAAAAUAAACGUGAGGAAAAGAGAUGCUUUAUCAACAAAAGUUCCAGCUGCUGCAUGUCAUGAAGUCUCUAUCCAUCAGGCUGAUGCAGCUACUGCUGAGACGGCUGCUGGUGCAAGUAGGGAGAUAAAAGCCGGGGGGAGGCAGGAGGCAAUAAAGCACCAGCUUUGAAAUGUGGAAGGUUUGGGGAAGACUGAAGUUCCCAACUAGUAACAGGCUGUGAUUUACCAAGAUGAAUCUCUAAUCCAUAACUAAAUUCCCAAGUGCUUCUUGGCCCACCCAGCCAUCCAGGCCAGAAACAUCCUCUCUCCUCUCUCCAUGGCGCCAGUUGCUCUUCCUGGACACUACCCGGCCAGGGCUCUCAGUCAGCUCCGGAGGUGUGCUCUGGAAGCUCCUGGAGGCCUGCCCCUGACACCUGACACACAGGAAUCACUUGAGAAAGAUACGAACAGUGAGGAAAGAAAGAAGAGUAAGGGGAGCCCGGGUGGAGAGCCUUGGCCAACCAAGGGCCAAGCACACUCCACCAAGGUCAGAGGUUCUGGCCUUCACUUGCUGGAAAGAAGGCUUGACACACAAGAGAUUGACGAUGUUUUGGUCUGUUUCAAUGGGAUCAAAAAGUUUGCUCCGCCGAGCACGGUGGCUCACGCCUGUAAUCCCAGCACUUUGGGAGGCUGAGACAGGC